rnacentral:rRNA from 1 species
AGCACUUAAGGUGCGGAGCCGUAGCGAAAGCGAGUUUUAACUGAGCGUUCAGUUACUUGACGUAGACCCGAAACCGGGCGACCUACCCAUGAGCAGGAUGAAGCGAAAGUAAAAUUUCGUGGAGGUCCGAACCCACGAGCGUUGAAAAGCUCGGGGAUGACUUGUGGGUAGCGGUGAAAUUCCAAUCGAGCCCGGAGAUAGCUGGUUCUCCCCGAAAUAGCUUUAGGGCUAGCCUCAAGGUGAGAGAUACGGAGGUAGAGCACUGAAUGUCCUAGGGGGUAUUGCACCUACCGAAGACUAUCAAACUCCGAAUGCCGUCAUCUUAUACUUGGGAGUCAGACUGUGGGUGAUAAGAUUCAUAGUCGAAAGGGCAACAGCCCAGAUCGUCAGCUAAGGUCCCUAAAUGUAAGUUAAGUGGUAAAGGAUGUGGGAUUGCACAGACAACCAGGAUGUUGGCUUAGAAGCAGCCACUCAUUCAAAGAGUGCGUAAUAGCUCACUGGUCGAGUGAUCCUGCGCCGAAGAUUUCCGGGGCUAAAACUUACUACCGAAGCUACGGCAUCAGUAAUGAUGGGUAGGGGAGCUUCCCAUACGGGUUGAAGCAUGACCGUAAGGACAUGUGGACAGUAUGGGAGUGAGAAUGUUGGCAUGAGUAGCGAGAUGUGGGUGAGAAUCCCACAGGCCGUAAACCCAAGGUUUCCAGGGGAAGGUUCGUCCGCCCUGGGUUAGUCGGGACCUAAGCUGAGGCCGAAAGGCGUAGGUGAUGGACAACAGGUUGAUAUUCCUGUACUACCGAUAACCGUUUGAGAGAAGGGAUGACACAGUAGGAUAAGCUAAGCACACUGUUGGUUAUGUGUGCCCAAGCAUUGAGGCAGUCAAAGUAGGCAAAUCCGCUUUGAUAAUGCUGGGAUGUGAUGGGGAGCGAAAUUUAGUAGCGAAGUAGCUGAUUUCACACUGUCAAGAAAAGUCUCUAUCGAGGUUAAAGGUACCCGUACCGCAAACCGACACAGGUGGGUGAGGAGAGUAUCCUAAGGCCAGCGAGAGAACUGUUGUUAAGGAACUCGGCAAAAUGACCCCGUAACUUAGGGAUAAGGGGUGCCACCAUCAGGUGGCCGCAGAGAAUAGGCCCAAGCGACUGUUUACCAAAAACAUAGGUUUCUGCUAAGUCGCAAGACGAUGUAUAGGAGCUGACGCCUGCCCGGUGCUGGAAGGUUAAGGGGAUCUGUUAGAGCAAUCGAAGCAGUGAACUUAAGCCCCAGUAAACGGCGGCCGUAACUAUAACGGUCCUAAGGUAGCGAAAUUCCUUGUCGGGUAAGUUCCGACCCGCACGAAAGGCGUAACGAUUUGGGCACUGUCUCAACAACAGACUCGGUGAAAUUGUAAUUCCGGUGAAGAUGCCGGAUACCUGCGACAGGACGGAAAGACCCCAUGGAGCUUUACUGUAGCUUGACAUUGGGUCUUGGUACUACAUGUACAGGAUAGGUGGGAGGCUUUGAAACCAGGACGCCAGUUUUGGCGGAGCCAUCCUUGGGAUACCACCCUUGUAGUACUGGGACUCUAACCAUAGGCCAUGAAUCUGGUCUUGGGACACUGUCA